GGGGGACCUUCGGGCCUCUUGCCAUCGGAUGUGCCCAGAUGGGAUUAGCUAGUAGGUGGGGUAAAGGCUCACCUAGGCGACGAUCCCUAGCUGGUCUGAGAGGAUGACCAGCCACACUGGAACUGAGACACGGUCCAGACUCCUACGGGAGGCAGCAGUGGGGAAUAUUGCACAAUGGGCGCAAGCCUGAUGCAGCCAUGCCGCGUGUAUGAAGAAGGCCUUCGGGUUGUAAAGUACUUUCAGCGGGGAGGAAGGGAGUAAAGUUAAUACCUUUGCUCAUUGACGUUACCCGCAGAAGAAGCACCGGCUAACUCCGUGCCAGCAGCCGCGGUAAUACGGAGGGUGCAAGCGUUAAUCGGAAUUACUGGGCGUAAAGCGCACGCAGGCGGUUUGUUAAGUCAGAUGUGAAAUCCCCGGGCUA
rnacentral:rRNA from 1 species